UGCCCCAUGGCUAAGUUGGUUAAGGCGGUCGACUGUUACGUAAGCAACAAAUCGGACGGUCGGGAGUUCGAGUCUCCCUGGGGCAG